GGGAAGCCAAAGUCCAUCAACAAUGUCGAAGCGAGGAAGGGGAGGAUCCGCAGGGAACAAGUUUCGGAUGUCACUGGGUCUUCCGGUGGCUGCUACUGUCAACUGUGCAGACAAUACGGGAGCUAAGAAUCUCUACAUCAUUUCAGUGAAAGGGAUCAAAGGUCGCCUCAAUAGGUUGCCAUCCGCAUGUGUCGGUGAUAUGGUUAUGGCCACCGUUAAGAAAGGCA
rnacentral:misc_RNA from 1 species